CGUUCGAAAAAAAUGAAAAAAAAAACAUAACUUCUUAAAAAUCCCUAAAUUUUCUCCAACACCAUCACCACGUUUUCACGAUCUAGAUCGUAGAAACUGUUUCAUCUUCUUCUAUAAAUUUAACUCACCAUAAACUCAAAACUUAUUUGUUUGAUCUCGCAAAAUUUUUUAUCUUUAAAUUCUCGCCAACAGUCGACGCGGUUGCUAUUAGAGCAUCGCUUAUAUUUCCAGAAAAUCUCAGAUAUAGUUGUCUCGACCCUAUCCAUAUUGGAGAUUGGAGAUUGUUAAGGCUAAUCGGCUAAUCUUUCCCUAUCCAUAUUGCCUUCCAUCGGUAGAUUUUUCAAUGUUUCUUAUAUAUGAUGAAGACGCCGACGCAACAUCCGGAGAUCGGCCAAAUGUUAUCAAUCCAUUGGUCGCAUAUCCCUGGAGCACGUACAAGUUCGACUAAUGCGACUUCUAUCCUGUGAGCUACAUAAGAGAUGACAAAGAGUGAAAGAUGUUAAAUCAAAUGCCAAGGAAAUACAAGGAAGAAUAAAACACUAUUCAGUGACCAAUACCAACGAGCAUCACAAAAUAUUUUUAUGUUCUCAUACCAUUAGAAGAAGGUGUAAUUUUGUUCCUGUUCUCAUGCGAUACAAAUCGUGUAUGGUAUUUUUUUUUCAUAUGAGAUCCUUGAUUAUUUGAAAGUCUUUGCUAAUGAUUGAAUGUCAUUGUAAUUGGCGUUGAAAAUGCAAGAAGAUGUGUAUCCUUUUAUGAGAACAAGAGCUAUAAUUCUCCCAAAAAAAUAUUCUUUUGCAAUGUUUUUAUGUAAAAUAUAUUGUGAAGAUAUGCAUUUAUCAGCAUGUCUCCUCUUUUAUAUAUCAAUCUAUAUGACUUUUAAUAUUUGUUUGCAUUCUCAUGAUUUUAUUGUGUUUUUGGGUUCUUGCCAUCGCUUGCUAAGACCAUCAUUAACAGGGGGUUCUUAACUAUAUCUUUUAACGUUGUUUAAUAUUAAAAUUUUAGUUUUUUGUAAGUUAAGAGUCAAAUCUUAGCUCUUAACACUCCCAAAAGCUCUUAGCUAAGAGUCAAAUCUUAGCAUUUUAAUUUGUUUUGAUUUAUUUUUCAAUGUUUAAUUCUAAAAUAAAAAAGUUAAGAACCA